UUCUGCCCUAGGAGCGAAACCACCUAAACAAGGCCAUGUACACAAGGGCUGUUUGGAAGGAGGGUGAACAAGAGGAGGAGGGUGUAGUUCCUGACAACUGGAUCGACAGGAACAAUAGAACAGUUAGAUGGCCACUAAUGAGUGCCACAAAAAUAGAAAGAGCUCUAAGGGACAAAAUUAACCCCCAGGAUGACUGGAUGAUGUACCCAUUAAUUAAGAUAAAAAUUACUUCAGCUAAGCGCUGUGAAUGCAACAACUACAACCUGACCAGUCAAGCAGAGGAGGAUGACGAUGAUGAGCCAAUUAGAUCAACAAGGAAACGGACUAAAAAAGGAAUUCCAGAGGGUUUUGUAAGAAAUGAAUUGACUGAUUCAGAUGAGGAGAGCAUCAGUGGUAGUGAUUUUCUAUAAUUAAUUUAUAAUUCCAGUUUCAAAAUUACUCAGGUUCUUUAACAAGAUUAUCCCAUUUUUUUUAGAUUGACAUGCUUUUCACAUUACCUCUGUACAGAUGUCAAGUUGGCCAACUACCCUACUCCACCAAGGAAGCUGCCGCCCAUUCAGGACACCAAAAUGAAUCAUGAAUCAGGCUUAAAUCAUGCUUGUGGGUACUGUGGUAGUGUGGGUGGUGUGGUCAGGAGGUACCGCUGUCGAAUAGCGACGUAAAGGCAAAGGAGGCGCUUGGAGCAGUUGUAAACUGUUC
rnacentral:lncRNA from 1 species